CGCUCAUUCCGAACUUCUCGCUGGGAGGAGCCAAGCCGACGGACCCGGCAAUCAGGGCCCUCACAGCAGCGGUGGACGGUGUGCUUCCUGAGGCUGGCUUCACGGA
rnacentral:SRP_RNA from 1 species